CCGGUUCCACUCUCCCCAUUCCGGACAUCGUCUCAGACAGGCAGAAUUUUGUGCAUCCUAACCUAGGCAUCCGGUGAUCUAUCCUUCCUCCCACACACCCCCACCCCACCAUCGUGGAUAUCGUCGGAGCCACCGCUCGUAGAGGAGGCCAAGCCAUCGGCCUCCCCACCGUAGGAAUCAGAACCCUCUAGUAGAGGGGGUGCCGCCGCCGUGCUAGGGGUGGCCCAUCAGGCAAACAUGCUAUGGGUCGGUAACCUUUCCACGCAUGUAGGCGAGGAUGACGCCACUGCAGUCUUCGCCUCACAAAGGGCACUUGAAUGCAUCGUCAUGCACACUGACUCUCACAGCAAUGCCUUCAUCCUCUAUAGCUCGCUCGAGGCACUCCGCGGGUACAAGGUCAAGGGCUCCUUCAUCCGCGUAAAGUUUUUCCAGCCAGUUUUCUCUUCACACACUUCUCCACCUCCCAGAUCUACACUCACCUUGGAUCCCCCAUGAUCUUGCUGCAGGUUGUCAUCCCAUGAAGUGAUUUCUUGGGCACUUACAAUUUUGGUGCUGGUGAUUUGGCAUGACGCUGCACGAGAGGGAUAUUUAUCAUCCCAUGGGCAAGCUCUUUUAUGAAUUUUAGGAUGUGUUGGCUUCUUAUAUAGUCCUAGAUUUUUUAUUGUUCCUUGUUCUACGGUGAAAUUGUUAUGUUGGUGUUGUGUAAAGACUGUUGCCCUCAUGAUACUUACUAGUGUAAUUUGUAACACCCCGGAUGUAACUUUCCAUAUUUGUAACUCCAACUCUUGCCAUUUUCGGCUAUGUGUUAUGAUAUUCCCUCCGUGGUUGGGUUUUGUU
rnacentral:lncRNA from 1 species